rnacentral:rRNA from 1 species
UACGGAGGGUGCAAGCGUUGCUCGGAAUCACUGGGCGUAAAGAGAGCGUAGGCGGUUGAUUAAGUCAGUUGUGAAAGCCCGGAGCUCAACUCCGGAAUUGCAACUGAAACUGGUCAUCUAGAGUAUAGGAGAGGAGAGUGGAAUUCCUGGUGUAGAGGUGAAAUUCGCUGAUAUCAGGAGGAACACCCGUGGCGAAGGCGGCUCUCUGGCCUAAUACUGACGCUGAGGCUCGAAAGUGUGGGGAGCAAAC